rnacentral:rRNA from 1 species
UACGUAGGGUGCGAGCGUUGUCCGGAAUUACUGGGCGUAAAGGGCGUGCAGGCGGUUUGUUAAGUGCAGAGUGAAAGCUCCCGGCUCAACUGGGAGAGGUCUUUGCAUACUGGCAAACUCGAGGGAGGCAGAGGAAAGUGGAAUUCCCGGUGUAGUGGUGAUAUGCGUAGAUAUCGGGAGGAACACCUGUGGCGAAGGCGGCUUUCUGGGCCUUACCUGACGCUGAGACGCGAAAGCUAGGGGAGCGAACAGG